rnacentral:rRNA from 1 species
AUUGAACGCUGGCGGCAGGCCUAACACAUGCAAGUCGAACGAGUGGCGGACGGGUGAGUAAUGUCUGGGAAACUGCCUGCUGGUGGGGGAUAACUACUGGACACGGUAGCUAAUACCGCAUACCAUCUGAUGUGCCCAGAUGGGAUUGGCUAGUAGGUGGGGUAAAGGCUCACCUAGGCGACGAUCCCUAGCUGGUCUGAGAGGAUGACCAGCCACACUGGAACUGAGCUACGGUCCAGACUCCUACGGGAGGCAGCGGUGGGGAAUAUUGCACAAUGGGCUCAAGCCUGAUGCAGCCAUGCCGCGUGUAGGAAGAAGGCCUUCGGGUUGUAAAGUACUUUCAGCGGGGAGGCGGUACCCGAAGAAGAAGCACCGGCUAACUCCGUGCCAGCAGCCGCGGUAAUUC